UGAACAGUUACUUUCUUUGCAUUGUUAUAUGUACAAGUUUCAUAAAUUCAAAGUUACUGACAUGUCAUAUACCCUCACUGAAAUGGGAUUCAAGUCUUUUUUGUUGUUUACUAUACAAGUAUUCAAUGCUAGAAAAAACAAGAUCAAGUCAAUGGACGAGCUAAAGUCUCUUACAAGUGUGUGGGCAUUGAUUUUGAGAGGUAAGUCUUUCUUGUCGAAGAUAUUGUAAAAGAUUAGCUAAUAAAAUUUUCUUCAAGGAUUAAUGUUUAUAAUCUUCCUUUUUCUUAACCUAUGGUAGACAAUGAUACAAGUUAAGUUUGCAAGCUUAAUCAGAUGAAAGAGUUGAAUACUGGUCAAUACUGCUGCUCAAUGACUUCACCAAAUUAUUCAAUCAACCUCAGAGAGGCCAAUGGAAUCUGGGACGAACAACAAGUCUAUGAAAGUCCUUUGGACUGCAGUAAUGGCACUUGCUAGCAGAUCAUCUGACGGAUCUCUGGUGGAGUCCUGCCAUUGGGCAGAUGGUAUACCAUUGAAUCUCCGACUCUAUGAAAUGCUUCUAGAAAUAUGCUUCUAUAUUAAUGACUAAACGUCCAUUAUAGAUGAAGUUCGUGAGCUUAUGGAACUCGUGAAGCAAAACUUGGGAAAUCCUAGGAUAAACCAAAUGUUGCACAAUCUUUGCUUUACAUGGGUCCCUUCAAGAUAACUAAAUGCGAUCUGCUGCCUAGAAUUAGCUGAAGGAUUUUUUUUUUUUUUUUUUUUUUUUUUUUUUUAAAGUAAAUGCUGGAGUCAAAAUGCAGAGGAUAUGUUGGAGGGGGACUCAAAAUAUUGGUGAAGGGUGUUUCCUUGAUUAGAAGAAAGGACAUGUUAGCUCAAGAAGUGUUCAAUGAGAUUCUUGGUUGGAGUUCAAUGUAAGAUUAUAGGAUUGAUGAACUUGUAGAUAAGGACAUGAGUAGUCGAUAUAAAAGAUGGUUUGACUUUGAAAUCGAAGCAUUUGAACUCAGAAUAGAGAUUGAGGAUCGGGGUUCUUAAUUUUUUUUGUUAGAUAAAAAAUUUAUAAAAGUUUGUUCUUAUUUCAACAGUUUCUUUUAUUAUUAAAGUGUAUGGAUUCGAAUUCGUAAUGAAAUUAUUAUUUUUUGUAGUCCAAAAGCUCUUGGUAAG
rnacentral:lncRNA from 1 species